AGUUUAGCGCGUUUGAGGCAGGAUGAACAAGAUGCCGUCUGCGACAUUGCAAGCCGCUCAAAACGAUGUGUCAAAGCGUAACAAAUGACAGCGCUUCGGAAGACUACGUCAAUUUCACACAGAGAAGUUUUGUUUUCGUAUUUUUUUUUAAACCGCUGGGCUAAUUAUGUUUUAAUCGUAUUUUACUUGUGAUAGAAUGAUAUUAUUGCCUAUUUCUGCCACGAAGUAUUCAUUGGAAUGCUGGUGGAACAGUCAAUUAACAGUGUAAUUGAGAUUUUAAUGUCAUGUUUCUAAUUGAAUUGGCUCCGGAAUUGACGCAAAAUUCAUAAUUGCAAUAUUGGAAGUAGCUAGUAACAGAAUUAGUUUCUUUGUCAUUUGGGAGUGGCUGGACUCUUUUAAAAUUUGUGUUUAAAAUUAUCGAUCUUUUAAUUGUUAAAGUUGAUGGACUAGCUCACGGCCUAUCUGGUGUUAAGUGGCCGGGUCCCAUAGACAUCAACAAGGUGAAUUACGCCACCCAUUUUGAGACAUGAGUUCUAAGUCGGAGAAUUCUAGCUUAGUGACAUUGAAAAUUAACAUAAAACAAUACGAAAUAACCAGCGUUCGCUGUGCACGAGACAAAGGAUUCACAAAUAACUUAAGUUAUCUCGGGAAUUUAAUCGCUAAGUAGGUAGGUAUGCGCCGUGCGCCGUGCGCCGUGCAUAUCACUAAUAGCUGUCUGCCUACAAAUUAUAUUAAUAUCUAAUCAGAAUGUUACUUGGUGAUUUAUUUCAAAGCACGCCUAUAUAACGACUAUUUAAUUGGUUUUUUAAGUUAAACUUUAUCUAAAAAAUAAGAACCUUGUAACAUCUACCCCUAAUACUGAACACAAUACAAAUUAUUAAAAUUAUGUAAAUGUUACCUAAAUUUUUGCGAGUUUUAACUCUGUUUUGUAUUAGUAGAAGAAAUGGCCGGGGCGGUGGCUUAUAAGAAGAUCUACCAGUUCAAACUUAUUGAAAUUGUAAUAAUAUUUUAAUAUUUUUAAUUUCAGAAUCAUCUUAACGCAGCCUGAAGGUUUUCGGUGUCCACCGGGCAUCAUUAUUAGUGCCCUACAUCUACCCUGUAGAUCCGAAUUUGUUUGAAGUGAGGCGACAAAUUCGGUUCUAGAGAGGUUUGUGUGGUGCACGCACUGCAACAUUCAAAUCUAUAUGACGAACGUCCAAGGAAAUCUGGAUUCAAACAGAAUAUAAGUGCGAUUUAAAAAGGAGACGCAUUGAUUCCAAUCUCAACACGUAUGAUUGAUUUAGGGUUGGUUUGUUUCUAGGAGAAUCAGGUUAUUGUGUAUUGUGUGUAGUUGUGUGAUGUGAAAGUUCGCAUUUUAUUAAUACGAAUGAAGAUUGUGUUUCUCUAUUAAUGUCUCCGCUAAUGAAAAAUACGAAUUGUUUGAAAAAUAAAAGAGAACAAAAAAAUUGAUUUUUUGUUUAAACAAAUAUUAUUAUGUAUUAUGUAAUAUAUUAUUAUGUAAAAUGAAUCUUCGUUAUUUGCAAAUUAUAUAAUACAAUGCAACUGUUUCAGUUUGAUUCUAUUUAAGCUUUAUAAGAGUCAAAGUUAUAUUUAAAAUUAAAUAAAACAAAUAGGUUAUGUUUGUAAUAAUGUUUUUAAUGCUUGGAAAAUAUUCUUUACAAUCAUUUAUGGAGUUUCACAAUUACCUAUGAGUCCAGUAUAAACGAAUUAUUUUAAGUUACAUACUACUAAUAUUAAUGUAUUAGUAAUCUAAAUAUAAUAUUUUAUAUAUAUUAUUGGACCAUUCUAUAAAUGUGCUGUGUUUAAGUUAUUUUGUUUUGUGUUUAUGUGUAAGAUAUAAGUGUAUAUUGGAAUUUAAAAUAAAUAAAUGAAACAGAAUGA